UAUAAAUACAGAUGGUAGUGUGCUGUACUGUGUACAACAAGGGAAUGAAUUAUAUGAUUUAAGCGUAAUGUAAGUACGUCAUCUUGUUGGUCAUCUUUUAGGUGAUUUGUAUUAUA
rnacentral:sRNA from 12 species